rnacentral:rRNA from 1 species
UACGUAGGGACCAAGCGUUGUCCGGAAUCAUUGGGCGUAAAGCGCGCGUAGGCGGCCCGGUAAGUCCGUUGUAAAAGUCGAAGGCUCAACCUUCGAAAGCCGAUGGAUACUGCCGGGCUAGAGUACGGAAGAGGCGAGUAGAAUUCCUGGUGUAGCGGUGAAAUGCGCAGAUAUCAGGAGGAACACCGGUGGCGAAGGCGGAUCUCUGGGCCUUACCUGACGCUCAGGCGCGAAAGCUAGGGGAGCGAACAGG